CCCCUUCAAGCUGGCUGGAGUGGAGGGUAACACUGUGGUGAGAGAUGCUCCCCAUCCCUGAGGUGUCUUUCUAAUGACCCUCAACCUAUCCCGCUGGCCCUGGGAGAAACAGAGGUGAACAUGAUCCCUGAUGCUUAGAUCUCAUUCUCAACUCAGAAAUUUUUCAACCCCUCUCACUCUUGUUACCUGUUCCCUUUCUUGCCCACUCCUUUUUCCCUGAGGCAUUGGGGGUUACAGAGUCUAGAUCCCAUGCUGGGAUUGUCUGUAAUGCCCCAGCCCACCUUCCCUUUCAGCCCCCAGAGCAGGACCCUCCAGCCUCUCGUCUCCCCUUUCCAAGCUCUGGAGGGAGUCAUAGGAGAUGACGAGGAACCUAUGAAUGUCACUGUGAAUGUGGGUUAUUCUGCCCUCUAAAGGCUGUCAUCAAAAUGAAAGGGCAGCCACCUUCUCCAGGGGUGCUGUCCUCCUGCACAUGCAUCCUAUCCACACUCUGUGACCAUCCCCUUUGCUUACUGCUCCUGAGUCAUCUUCACUUUCCCUUAGAUGUUUCAGCACCUGAUGCAGAAGCGGAAGCACACCCAGUGGACAUAUGGACCACUGACCUCGACUCUCUAUGACCUCACGGAGAUCGACUCCUCGGGGGAUGAGCAGUCCCUGCUGGAACUUAUCAUCACCACCAAGAAGCGGGAGGUAUGGCUCAUGACAGCAGGCUGUGGCUGGGGAGGGGUGUCAGGGUCUCUGAGCCGCCUGUUCUCUUUCUGUUGCAGGCUCGCCAGAUCCUGGACCAGACGCCGGUGAAGGAGCUGGUGAGCCUCAAGUGGAAGCGGUACGGGCGGCCGUACUUCUGCAUGCUGGGUGCCAUAUAUCUGCUGUACAUCAUCUGCUUCACCAUGUGCUGCAUCUACCGCCCCCUCAAGCCCAGGACCAAUAACCGCACGAGCCCCCGGGACAACACCCUCUUACAGCAGAAGCUACUUCAGGAAGCCUACGUGACCCCUAAGGACGAUAUCCGGCUGGUGGGGGAGCUGGUGACUGUCAUUGGGGCUAUCAUCAUCCUGCUGGUAGAGAUUCCAGACAUCUUCAGAAUGGGGAUCACUCGCUUCUUUGGACAGACCAUCCUUGGGGGCCCAUUCCAUGUCCUCAUGUGAGUUUCCUUCCUCUCACUCCCAUCCCUUCCCUCAACAGGGCUCCAGUUCCACUCCCUGGAUUCCUGACCUCUCAAGAACCUUAGCUCCAGAGCCCCCUCUCUAGUGCUGUGUGUAUGACCCUGUGCAUUGAGUGUGGGGAGGCUGAAUCUGCAUGAGUGGGUACUUUCCCAGCUACAUUCCUGCUGUCAGGUCCCCAGGCUCAUCCCAGCCCUCCCCUCAUCACCCUCCUCCCUGCUCCCCCAGCAUCACCUAUGCCUUCAUGGUGCUGGUGACCAUGGUGAUGCGGCUCAUCAGUGCCAGCGGGGAGGUGGUACCCAUGUCCUUUGCACUCGUGCUGGGCUGGUGCAACGUCAUGUACUUCGCCCGAGGAUUCCAGAUGCUAGGUCCCUUCACCAUCAUGAUUCAGAAGAUGAUUUUUGGCGACCUGAUGCGAUUCUGCUGGCUGAUGGCUGUGGUCAUCCUGGGCUUUGCUUCAGGUAAUCAUCUGUCCAGGACCAGGGGCCAUGGCAGGGAGGAGAUGAGAAAAUCUAGGGGGCACUGGCUCUGGCUAAACUUGGGGAGGAGGAGUAAUGCAGAGAUCAGAGGAGACCUAUGGUAUCAGAGGAUGGGACGUCCUCCAGAGGUGAGAAAAAUCGGGAGUGUUAGGGAGAGGUGGCUCUUAGGAUCAAGAAGAUGAGGCUCAUAGAAAACUAGGGACCGUAAAAACCCAAAGUUUGGAGCAUUGCAGAGCUGGUGAUAUUG
rnacentral:sRNA from 1 species